rnacentral:rRNA from 1 species
UACGUAGGUGGCAAGCGUUGUCCGGAAUUAUUGGGCGUAAAGCGCGCGCAGGUGGUUUCUUAAGUCUGAUGUGAAAGCCCACGGCUCAACCGUGGAGGGUCAUUGGAAACUGGGGAACUUGAGUGCAGGAGAGAAGAGUGGAAUUCCACGUGUAGCGGUGAAAUGCGUAGAGAUGUGGAGGAACACCAGUGGCGAAGGCGACUCUGUGGCCUGUAACUGACACUGAGGCGCGAAAGCGUGGGGGGCGAACAGG